CUGGCUCAGGAUGAACGCUAGCUACAGGCUUAACACAUGCAAGUCAGGGGCAGCAUGUGGUUGCUGCAACCAAUGAUGGCGACCGGCGCACGGGUGAGUAACGCGUAUCCAACCUCCCCUUAGUAGAGGAUAGCCCGGCGAAAGUCGGAUUAAUACUCUAUGUUCUUCAAUGCGGACAUCUAAGUUGAAGCAAAGAUUUAUCGCUAAGGGAUGGGGAUGCGUCUGAUUAGGUUGCAGGCGGGGUAACGGCCCACCUGGCCUACGAUCAGUAGGGGUUCUGAGAGGAAGGUCCCCCACACUGGUACUGAGACACGGACCAGACUCCUACGGGAGGCAGCAGUGAGGAAUAUUGGUCAAUGGGCGAGAGCCUGAACCAGCCAAGUAGCGUGCAGGAUGACGGCCCUAUGGGUUGUAAACUGCUUUUAUGCGGGGAUAAAGUGAGGGACGUGUCCCUUAUUGUAGGUACCGCAUGAAUAAGGACCGGCUAAUUCCGUGCCAGCCGCCGC
rnacentral:rRNA from 1 species